rnacentral:rRNA from 1 species
UACGUAGGGUGCGAGCGUUAAUCGGAAUUACUGGGCGUAAAGCGUGCGCAGGCGGUUUUGUAAGCCAGAUGUGAAAUCCCCGGGCUUAACCUGGGAAUGGCAUUUGGGACUGCAAGGCUGGAGUUUGGCAGAGGAGACUGGAAUUCCUGGUGUAGCAGUGAAAUGCGUAGAUAUCUGGAGGAACACCGGUGGCGAAGGCGGCAUCCUGGACCAACACUGACGCUGAGUGAGCGAAAGCCAGGGGAGCAAACGGG